rnacentral:rRNA from 1 species
AUGGACCAAUCCAUCCCUUUUUCUCGUGCAUAUGCAUCGGAUUCUGAUGACGAUGGUCCCGAUGAAGAAGUUGAUGAGGAGGGGUUCACGCCCAAGGAGGUCCAAGCAUUUAAGCUAUUCGGGCGGGAUCACAAGACACCAUUGUUCAAGGAUCUUAGUCUCGCGGAUGAAGCCGGUGUAGAUGAUGGCAAAUGUAUAUCUCUUGGAGCUAGGCCAAGUUCUCACCGUGAUUUGGAAGACGGCAAAAAUGGGAUAUAUCCUAGUUGUGAGUUUCAAUCCUUCUUGGAAUUGAAGAUGUGGCUCGACCACUACUCGGUUAUGCAUUAUCGUCCACAUAAAGUGGCCAACUCGGACGUCAAAGUGCGUUACACGGUUAAAUGUGAAGUGCCAAGAUGUCCAUGA